ACACUACAAGGCUGUUUACCAAGCCUGCUGGAGCCUCUGAAGGGCAGCAGCCAGCUCACCCCCCAUGCCCUGGAUGGCAACAAGGCACAGGAGACCGCAGAGCAUACAAACAGGGCAAGAGGAAACCAUCUAUCAAUGACCAGGGACCAGAGGAAGCAAAGUUCUAACAUCUCGCUCACGUUCUCCCAAGGCCCAGAGCACUCCUCUUCUUGGUGGAUACCAAUGCACUUUGAGAAGAAGCAGGAAUGCAUGUAUUUCUAAACAAUGAACUUUGGAGAAAUUAACAGGCAAAGGAUCAAGUACUACUAAUAUAAAAAUGAAAAGAUGAUACCAGGCAAAGUAAAACCUGGGUUGUGGUGACAGCAGCACUCGUGUCUGACGUCUGAUGCAGACCCUUCCAUGAAGGCUGACACCCAGAGGAAGCACAGCCUCCCCUCUGAAGCUUCCUCUACUGCAGUCUCUGUGCUCAUCGCAAGGAUCUCUCCAUAUUGACUUAUAUUUGUUUCUGGUCUUAUAUUUUUCUCUAUGGACAGACUUCUAUUUUCAGAAGAUAGAUAUUUAAGUCACAAUAUUCUGGACUCUGGCUUAGUUAGACCAACCGUCUCUUGAUCGUCUGUGGAAACUGAAUCAGGAACACCCCAGAGAGCUGGCUCUGGAUGUAAUUCACAGCUUCAUUUAAUUAUUAUCAUCAAAGUUAAUGAAGGCCAUAAACUGUUUCAUAACAUACCAAUGGGAAGUGUGAUUGGAGGGAAAGCUGGACACCUCACCAUAAAACUGGCACAGCAGAAACGGCUCGACUUAACAAAACCUUCUUAUGAAGAAAAAGACAAUGAAACCAUGUUCAGUUUAGUGAACCUUUCACACUUGGCAACAUGAAUGUUAAGUCAAAAGAACAAUGGAGCUAUGAGUUUUUUUAAUCAAAUUUUUAUUUUGGGUCAAAUAAGCCAUUUUGUUUGUUUGUUAUUAAGUGUAAAGAGAGCUUUCGGUUAGCUAUUUAGUUAUAACUUUAUCUCACCCACUUCUAAAAAAGCGUUGAGGCUACUUGAAGUAAAGUCCUGUAGACGAGAGAGCGUAACACUAAAAGAUAGAAAGAAAACUUAGAAGAUGGAAGAGAAAUAAUUGCACUAGAAACCUGGCCAAUAUCAUGAACAGGCUCCAUAUAGGGACUCCUGUAUAUAGAUCGCUGUGUGUGUGGAUAGUACGUUCAAUAAAUGUAUUAUCUGAACUGCUUUUAAAGUUCUACUCUUGGAUUCCUGAAAUACUAUCUCUAUGGAUUUGCCUAUUCUGGAUGCUUCAUAUAGAUGGAAUCAUUCAUUACGCAACCCUUUGUAUCUGGCUUCUUUCAUUUAGCAUGAGGCUUUCCAGGUUCAUCCAUAUCAUAAGAAGUAUCAGUAUUUUACUCCACUUUAAAGUUCUGUAAUAGUUACUAUCUAUCUAUUUGGUAUACAUACAUGUAUAUAUUAAUUUUGCUUAUCCAUUUAUUCAUUUAUGAACAUUUGGAUUGUUUCUACCUCUUGGAAUUGUAAAUCAUGCUGUUAUGAACAUGGAUGUACACAUACCUGCUUG
ensembl:lncRNA LINC02251 long intergenic non-protein coding RNA 2251